rnacentral:rRNA from 1 species
GCACUCCCGGGGCGUCUCUAUCUCAUUGCGAGAGGAGGCGCACCUAGAGCGUACACGCUGAUACCCGAAAGAUGGUGAACUAUGCCUGGCCAGGACGAAGCCAGGGGAAACCCUGGUGGAGGUCCGUAGCGAUUCUGACGUGCAAAUCGAUCGUCGGAGCUGGGUUUAGGGGCGAAAGACCAAUCGAACCAUCUAGUAGCUGGUUCCCUCUGAAGUUUCCCUCAGGAUAGCUUGCGCUCGGAAACAACGAGUCUCAUCCGGUAGAGCGAAUGAUUAGAGGCCUUGGGGUCGAAACGACCUCAACCUAUUCUCAAACUCCAAAUAGAUGAGAACCCCGGCUUUCUUAAAACCUGUUUUAUGAAGCCGGGGGCUCGGAUCAGAGUGCCAAGUGGGCCAAUUUUGGUAAGCAGAACUGGCGCUGUGGGAUGAACCAAACGCGGAGUUAAGGCGCCUCAAUCGACGCUCAUGUGAAACCAUGAAAGGCGUUGGUUGCUUAAGACAGCAG